GAGCUGGCACCGUGCUUGCAUUUAUGCCAAUCGUUUUUAAAUGUCUUGGACUAGAUGCAGUUUUCUACUUCACACAUUCUAGAAGGGCCCAAAGGAGCACCAGUCAGUGAGACUGUGAAGGUGGGAAGACACAGCCCUUACCUUCCAGGAGCUUACAAUAAGGGGCGGACCUCAUGUAGCAAAUGCAGAGGGCCCUGAAUUAGGAGUCAGAAGAGACCCCAGGUCCUAGGCCUCAUGUUGCAAAUGCAGAGCACUGGAUUGGAAAUUACAGACCUGGGUCCUGGUGACUCAGCGGGGGAACUAUAGCAAGACAGUUCAACUCUGGAUUUCGGUUUUCUCCGCCAUAAAAUAAAGGACUUGAACCAGGGAAAGUUUAAGGCUCUUGGCAGCUCUACAAACCCAUGUUGUAAGUAGAUGGACUGGAAGUGACCUUAGGCCUCUGAUGGGGAACAAAGGAGAUGGCGGUGCCAUAAGGCUCUGAGCCUGGAGAGUCAGGAGCAGGCCACGCUGGAGUGGAAGGCUUGUGGGCAGGGUUGUUGAAGAGAAAAAUGGAAGUCUGCAUGCUGAACUGUGAGGAUGUUCGGUAUCUGACCACCUAUGAUUUGUCCAGGUUGAAUUGGAUGAAGGAAAGAGAAAAGAAGGGUUAAAAAAAUUCUUACUUGAGCCAGGUGUGGUGGCUUCUGGAGAAGAUGGGCUUGCAGGCCUGAGCCAGGACCACCAGGACCUUUCCUUCUCGGAACUCAUUUGUGGAUUCCUUGGCACACUCUUGCCAUUGUUUUCUGGGAGAUGUUUUGUUUGAAGAGUCUUGGAUGCUUUUGACUAUUCCCACUGACCGGCCCCUCUUACACUUUCAGUUCCUGCACAUCCAGAGUAGGCACCUACUUUGCCUCUUCUUUGCCUCUUGGUCCCUUCCCGCCUGACGCUGUUUUGAUCUGGAGAGAAAACAGUCUUGUGAUGACUCAUUGUUUCUAAAUGUAGCUGAGGGCAAUGCUCAUGCCUUCCACAUUAGUUGCUAUGAUAAAACACGGCGACCAGGGCUGGAGAGAUGGCUCAGCAGUUAAGAACACUGACUGUUCUUGCAGAAGACCCGGGUUCGAAUCCCAGCACCCACAUGGCAGCUAACAACAGCCUCUUCUGUCCUCCGUGGGCACUACAUGCAGGCAUAACACACACAUAAAAAAUAAAAAUAAUAAAUAUUAAAAAAAACCUAACACCAUGACUGAGACCAUUUAGAGAAGAAAGUUUAUUUGGCUUCCAUUUGCAGAGAAUAAGAGUCCAUCAGGUAGAGGAGGCAUGGCAGGAGGCAGCUGGAGCAGAAGGCUGAGCAAUCACAUCUUCAAGCAGGCACAGGGGCGAGACAAACACUGGAGAUGCGCCCUGACUCUGAACUCUCAAUGCCUGCUCCAACUGACGUGCGUCCUCUAGCAAGGUCCCCCCCUGAACCUCUGCAAACAGCACCACCAACUGACCAGGUGUUCAAAUACUUGAGCCCAUAGGGAACACCUCAUUCAAAUUAUCACACCAUCUUUUCAGUCUAAUUGGUGCAGACCAAGCCCAGCAUAUACUCUUAGCUCUGCUGUUCCUCACAGUCCGUCAGUGCCAGUAUUCUCUCUUUAGUUUUUCAAAUGUUCCAAGAGCCUACUCACUGACAGUUUGAGGAUGCUCCCAGGGACACACAUCUAGCUCCCUGGAUUGUUGGAGUGAAGUACCUUCCCUAGGCUUGAAGCGGGGAGUAACUCUGAGUUGGGAGUGGGAUAUGUGCCACUCCCAGCUCAUUGGAACCGUUCUCCUAAAAUUGUCUUUAUUUUCAUGUUGAUCCUUUUAUGUCCUCCACAUAGGGGAGGGGUUAAGAGCUGUUGAAAUCUUUCCAAGUCACAUGGAAGUCUUGUGCCUGACUUGGGAAUGUGGGUGUCAUUGGCAUCCACUGUCUUGGGGCAGAUGCGUAUUCUACUUUAACAUCCCUUGUUCAGACUUGAAAAAUCCAGUGCAUUGUUCUUAAUCGUUAAAUGAAAAGUGAAUCCAGGGAUGAUGACUCAGUGGGUGACAGCUCUUCCUGCCAAUCCUAACUACCUGAGUUUGAUCCCUGGGAGCCACAUGGUGGAAGGAAUCAACUUUAUCCACAGCCGUACCUCUCUUUGACUGUGCCAGAUCUUAUCUGAGAACCAACUCUGGCAGGUGUCCUCUAUUCCUGCACAUGUGCAGGUGUAUACACACACACACACACACACACACACACACACACACACACACACCAACUAACUGUAAAUGAAAAUGCAGACAUGGCGGGCAAUGUUAAGACAAACUUAGGAAAUUGAAAUAGUCGUGUGUGAAAAUAAAUACACAAAUAAUCAAUGUAACACCUUAGUUCUGUUCCUAAAAAUUUCUUUUUACUUUAGAAGCAUGAGUUGGAGGAAAUUUACCUAUGUAUAAAAAUAUUUUUAGCACUGGUCCUGGUGGCACACACCCUUAAUCCCAGCACUCAGGAGGCAGAGGCAGGUGGAUCUCUGUGAAUUCAAGGCCAACUUGGUCUGCCUAGCAAAUUACAAGCUACCUGGGACCACAGGGAGAC